rnacentral:snoRNA from 1 species
UUGGCCCUCAAUCAAGGCCAGCAGCUUGCCCUGUAGCUGCUGGUUUCAAACAGGAGCCCAGAGGAAGCUUCUCCCUGGUGGUCUGUUGGUGCUCCCUGCCCCUGGGGGGUGACCAAUUCGUGUGGGAGAGACACAG